rnacentral:lncRNA from 1 species
GAUCCCACCACCGCGUCAGUCUACCGUCGGCAUCCGCAUAGUCAACAACCCCUAGUAUCCCCGAGCGAUCCCGGAAGGUAGCACAAAGUUACGCGCGUCUUCAAACGGGUUUUGAAUCACUUUUUGUAAGUCUUAGGGGAGGUUGGACGGGUGAACGAGCGUCAUCAUUCAUAGAGCUAAAUACGUUUUGCCUGACGUGCCAUGUCACGUUUCCGCUCGGUGACAUUCCGGCGUGGAAUCAUCUGUUGAGGGAAAUGAGACGGAGUCACCUUGCAGCAACGCGACUUCGGAAAGGAUUUCGAUUCUUCCUGUUCUCCUCGAAGAAUUUGUUUUUCGGGUAAAAAGAGAAAAAUCGACAUUUCUUGCUGUCAAUGUCCUCCUCAGCUGAUUUAUGAUCGCGCGCGAUACUCUCCUUUUUUCACAGUUUCUCAUGAUUUUUAGAAUAAUUCAGCAUUAGAAAAUUAAAAUGAUAUUACUCAUUCAAUUGUGUUCUUUUAUUGUUACGAAUUAAUUUUGCUGCUAUUACGAAGCCUUCUCUAAUUAAUAAAUAUUACGCGAAUGUACUGUGAUUAUCGUUUAGAAAGUCGAUUGGUGCAGAGGACAAAAGUAAUAGCUUUUUAAAAGAAAAACUUUUAUUUAAAUAGAUUAUCCAAUCAAGAUUAAUUAACUAAACAAAAAUAGCUCUUCAUUUUUACAAUUGUAUUUUCUCCAUAUAAACAUUUUGUACGAUUAAUUAUUAAGAUUGUAGCUUCGAGAAGAAACACGGAUUUAUAAUCGUUCAAGUGUAAUGCGACUUUAAACCGUCGAACUGUUUUUUCUGAAUCUCGAGAGCGCAAAGGAUUUUUGCGCCACCGGGAAUCAAGUUUCCGUUAAGUGACAUCCACGUAAAAUCAUCCGCUGAAGGUAAUAGGAAACGAGGUCGAGUCACUUUGCUGCAACGCAAUCGCGGGAUAGUUGAGUUUUCUUUUAUUUAGUUGAGGAUUUUAAGGACGAAAGACGGCAGGAAAGUUUUUCUAUGGUCGGGUUUCCGUUAGGUGACACCUACGUGGAACCAUCCGCAUGGGAUGAAACGAAAAGAGUUGGCAUUCCCUCCCCGUAAGUUGUUAUCAUGUUUAUUGGCUCGCUCGUGUUCCUCGAAGACGCGAGGUAGGAUUAUAUAUCUCGUAAAUUGUUCUUAAUUGGUUUCUUACCGUAUUUAAUUGAUAUACUUUUUUUUUGUAGCGUCACGCGGUUCGAAAAGACUUUCUCUGUCGCCAAAUUAUGUAUGUCGGUAUCUAAGAGCAAAGAUAGAAAUUCUCAGUUUAAAUUCAGUUGACUGUGUCUGACAAAAUAUUUGGAAAUUUGUGUCACCGUUUAAUAGUAAUAAUGGAGAACGUUAUAAGUAAAUUUUUAUGCGUCUUGCUUUUCAUCGCUUCUCGUCGCUACGCUAGAAACGUAAACAACUGUAACAACUGUAAGAGAGAAUUUUUGUACACGGAAUUAUUUUGAUAAUUUUGCAACUUUUGUCUUUGCCGUUGAAGCCCUUAUUUAACGUUUCCCUAAAACCUCCUUCUCGCUUAAAUCGUGCGUGUCAUUAGUAAAGCGCGUAGAACAAUACAUCGCGCGGGCAUUAAUUAAAUUCUUCUCGGCCGAGUUUCCACAUCGUCGCAACGCAUUUAUUAUUCAUUCCCGCAAACGAUAUACAUAUCGUCGUCUCGUUUGUCUUCAAAUGACCCGGCGUUGACGAUGGCACCUGUCCGUGGUGUCAUGCGGGUGCAUAACACGUCACGUGGGGUACACGCUGGUUGUCGGUGCGUAGAUAGAUUGCACGUGACAGCUCGGCUUCCUGACGAUCGGCGUCGGGCGCCGAGAAAAGUGGGGUCAUCGUGCUUUAAACACCGUGCGCCGUGGAAACGUCUCCGUGAGACGCUCGCUUUGUCCUCCGGCCGGCUCACGAUUGCGAUCAGAAUCCACCUGCUCCACCGGCCGACCUGCCACGCCGCAGUCUGACCAUCGCGGAAACCCUCGAUCUGGAGCCCGAUGAACGGGGGUCGACGGGGGUGAAGACUCAAACGACUUGCCGCCACGUUGCUUUGUUACCGUGUUUCUUCAUCCGUAAGUUUUUCACGUAAAUACAUCGAUUACCGUCGCUGCGACUUGAUGGCACACAGGGAGCUGUUAAAAUACCAACAAUCAAGAAUAUCGUGGCUCGAAAUGAAUAACCUCUGUCUGUACGUUCCCGCUUGUUAGUCCAAGGUGUCUCGCGCAUCUGUUGCUCGAGUACACGAGCGGAUAAAUUAUUAUUCGGUUUGCACGCAUGCUGGGUAAUAAAGAGAAAACUGUUUAACUUAAUUAACGAAAGAUAAAAAAGAGUAAAAAUGUACAUGUUUGGGUACAAAUGCGGGAGAAUUUGAGACUUAUGAAUUAUUUUUACUCAGGGUAUUUCGCUGUCUUUGUACCGCACUUGUUACACCUCGCGUACCACGCAAUUUCUGUUGGACUCGUGCUAUAUGGUAAUAAUUGUCUAUCAAGUAACAGUAGUAUAUAGUGUAACCUAGAUUCGCACUCGUCUUUGUAAUGUAAUUUCCACUUAGUAUGCGUAUGUUAGCGUACAGGGUGUGUCGGCAGUGAAUAAAUUAAAAAAAAAUCGAUCGUUACGAAUUUGUUAUAAGGACAUAUGUGUCGCAUCUUAAAGUGGCGUAAAAAAAUUUGAAAAUUUAAUGUAUUGUUCUAUUAUUACGUUUGAAUAUCUGAGUAAAAUUUAAGCACUCUUAUUGAUUUAAAAGUUGUUAGAAAAUUUUUUUUGUUUGUUUUUAAAUCUUAUUUGUAAUACAAAUUUGACGGAAAAGUAGCGUUACAAAUAAAAUCAAAUUUUAUAUAUAUAUAUAUACUAAUAAAAACCUAUGAUAAAUAUUCGUGCAAAAAUUUACUUGAAUCCACUUACUGCAUGGUUCAAAAGUUACUUGCCCGAAACUAUAGUAAAAUAAAAUUAUUUUUGCACAAGUCAUUAGAAGCUAAUUUUGUUUUCUUUGCAUUUGGUCUCAGAACCAAAUAUAACAAUAAAGAAGCCUGAGAAACCUGCUGUUUUAAAUGCAAUAACUCAUAGUUGAUAUUGUAGAGCCAAAAUGUACUAACAUGAGUAUGUGUGUGUGUGUGUAUUAGAUGGAAUUUAUGUUCAGACGAAUCUAAAAUGAUCAAAAUUACAUGCCUUGUCGAUGAUUGCAUCAAGAAGCUUACGCUCCAUAAACGUAGACCAUAAACGAUUGCUAUAAACGAGAUGUUAAUUCCAAAGAUUGUUUCAGAGAUAAGAAACGGGACUCGUUCGUUUUUACGGGCAAAUUAAAACGCCAUGGUGACGGGCUACGCGAAUGUUAAGAUAUCGAUCUGGUAAACUUUUGAUCCACCCUGUAGAUCGGCGUGUGCGAAUGUGUGCGCGCGCGUGUAUGCGGUGCAGCGCGCAAUAUCCAAGCUACCUGUCGGCCAUCAACGUCUUCGUACGAUUUAUCGUGACGUUACACGCGAGCGAGCCUUUCCGCCUACACCCUUCCGCCUUUCCGCCGGAAAACUUUUUCAAUUCGUGCCGGUUUCACCUAUUAGCGUCGCGCGAAUUUGCCUGGCUAUUAAUCCUACUUCAGGCUUUUGCUCGCGCGCGUAUCCGCCGGAUAAGGCCUCGGGUGUGGAUGUGCGUGAUAUUCGUGACAUCUCAACAGGUCACAUCCCUUGUGCGUUUUCUCCCUUUUUCUCUCUCUUCUGUUCGCGGAAGCAUAGUGCUUCCGUGUUGAUCAUCUAUCCCAACCGGAUAUAAUUCGUUUAUCUAGAACGAUGUAUCGAAUGUGAGAACGACAAAUGAGCAAAUAUUGAAACGUAUAGAAUUCGAAAUUGCGAACCUUUCAAUAUGUGCGAUCGUAUGGAAGAUCGUAACUUUGAUAUAAUUUUUUCGUUCUCUCAUUUCUCUUUUAUUUUCGACUUUGAAUUUAUUUCAUUUACACUUCACAUUUUUCCGCAGCGCGUUUGCCACUAUCUGUAUAAAAUAAUCUAGAUGAAUUAAGAAGUGGCUUUAUCUUUAUCUUUAUCUAAAUUAUUGGAGUAUAUAUGCUAUUUCCAUUUUUACCUAGAUAAAAAAAUUUUUUAUCUUUUCAAAUUAUCUACGUCAUUCUAAGUUAAUGUGAACAAUAACGAAUAUGAAGUAUUGUUCUUAGUUUCAACCUCCAAUUAUCUUAAUAGAAGAAUUCUUAAAUUAAGAACAUAUGUGAGUUAUAACGUAAUGUGAGUUAUAUAUUCUCCGCAUAUAUUUUUAACUUUGUUUUUUUAUUUGCGUAUUGAAUAAAAAAAAAA